rnacentral:miRNA from 1 species
AAGGAGGAUUUUUGGAAUUCC